AAGACAAAGAUGGGAACGCAUGCCCAAAACCAGCCUGGGAUUUGAGUGUGGUGAGCACCUCUGUCUUUAGUGUUGGUAACUCUAAACGCAGCGGUUGCUUUGGUUUACUGUUGGUUUGUCCCAGUGAUGAUCUCUGUGGCAUCAUGCAGGGCACUGCGUGCUCUGCACAAUAUGAGGAGUUGGACUCCAUGCACACACCCAGGGGUUGCAUCCAGGAUGGAGUUGGGGUUAAAAUGAUGCUGUUGUGUGUUGUCUGAGAUAGCAGAGACAAUGCAGUAAGUGCACGGCCUGCUUGCUGGAGCAAAGUGCUGCAAGGCACAGGCAGAUGGCUGGUGCUGGGUACGGUGCACAGAGCUCCCAGCCGGAAUCAGAGCUCUGAGGUCUGUUUUGAACUCCGUUAAUACAAAGCUCUCUCACUUCCCUGCUUUCUUAACUGCUGUGACAAACCAAACUAACCAACCGCCCUGAAGCCCUAACGCUCCUUUUGCAGCUACUUGAGACCUCUGCCAUCUCCCAUUGUUUCUGUUCUGGUGAUUUGGUCUGUGGACUUCAACGAGCUUCCAGUGAUGCUGUUGUUGCUGUUGUUUCUAAAGAGGGAAUGCCCAAAGGGUUCCAGUGUGAAAAGGGCUCACAUUUGCACUGUGAUCAGGAACAGGUCGGGGUGUUGCUGUUUCUCACUUGGCCCCAAGUAUGAGGUGAGCUGCUUUUUGCAGGAGCUGACUGGCAUCGCUGCCAGAUGCCUUUGCUUCCCACUUACUUGCCUUAUUGCUAAUUCAGAAAGAAAAAUUGGAGUGGUGGGGCUGGUCAUGUAUUGGCAGUGCACCAAAUAGCAGAAGAGAGAAAUGGGCAGGGCGUUGCAGGUGCAAACUUCUUCUCUUCCUGCCGUUGCAUGUUUUUGUUAUUCUGGAUAAGGCAGAGCACCCCGGCCUUGCCUGGGGUCUGCAGGCACAGCUCUGAUGGAAGAGGUAGCAGGAGGGCUGUUGGAACAGUGACUGUGGUGUUUUAAAGUAGCAGCUGAGCACAAAUGUUUGGUGUUGGGCUUCAUGAGAGAAGGGGCACAGGCAGAUGCAGCUCCCGCAGUGCUUCUGUUAGCUGGCUUCUGUUGCGAAUGCUGAAACCUCAGGCUUCCUGUACUGACUGCAGAUUUUCACUUGACUGGGGUAUUUGCAGUGCAUGAUUGUCAUACUGUAAUACUUGAAUCAACCUUUUUUCUGUCUCUGGGCGAGCACUUGCACUUCCCCCUCCUGCUCUGUGUUGUUCUAGUCUUUCAACUGACUUUUGUCUCCAAAGCUUCAGGGAGUGAUGCAGCAAAAGAAAGACUGGUCGCUCCACCAGAGCAGAGUCCCGUUCAGGAGGGAAAAUAUCCGAUCCCUGAAGAUGCCUGGUGCACAGAUGGGUCCAGCAAGGGCAACCCGAGCGAGUGGAGAGCAAUAGCGUACGAUCCUUCCAGCGAGACGAUCUGGUUGGACGAGGGGGAUGGUCAGAGCAGGCAACGGGCAGAACUGCGAGCCGUGUGGAUGGUUGUGAGCGAGGGACCCGGUGAUGGCAUCCUGAACAUCUGCACAGAUAGUUGGGCUGUGUGCCGGGGGCUCACUCUUUGCAUUGCGCAGUGGGCCACCCAGGAAUGGACUGUCCACCCCCCCGAUCUGGGGCAAGGACGUGGUUGGAGAUACGGAAUGCAGUCAGACACAGGACUGUAAGUGCUACCGAGCUUCUGGUUAUCAGCCCAGUGGCGUGGCCUACUUGCACACUUGACACUCACCCCGUGUAUCUGCUCAUUCCUAGGUGAAUCUCAGUGGUUUUGACCCAGGCCCAGUGGUGGUGCACUGAGUGCUUCCUUCAGUGCCGAGCUCUCAGGAAGCACGAAUCGCUGCAGGUCUGAUGGCUGCCUUCCACAGCACAACAGUGAUGGGGAUAAGGAGCUCAUCCACCCUCCCGCCCUCGUUUCUCCUGGCUCUGCUGAAGAUGCUGACCUGAGCCCAGCAGCCAUCGCAGUCCCCAGCCUGGAUUGUGACCCAGUGUCUUUGCAGUGCAGCCCAGCCAAGCGGAGUCCAAGUGCCCGGCCAGCAGCAGCUCCACGAGGAGCGGGUCGGCAUCGCUGAGGAGCAGCUGAGCCUCUUGGAGGAGGGCUUAGAAUCAGGCAGCCGGUCCCAGGCAGCGGGCAGCGCACACAGGUGUGGUGCAGUCACACUUCUCUCCAAAUUCGGUGCUUAAUUGAAUCCACACAAAUCUUUAUUCUGUGAUGAGCAAACCAUGCUGUCUACCUAAUGAUGUCAAAAUAUUCUUUCUCGCCCUUCACUUCCCUUUCCUGCAUGUGAUACAGCAGCCCGCUGAUCAUCGGGGGCUCAAUUUGCCACCAGGGAGCGUCAGCGGUCACUGAAGGCUUUGUUGGCUGUCAGAGGGCUCCACUGAUGAUCAGGGAUCUUCAGUGAGCCCCCCUGAAGAUACCAAAGGCCGGAAGAAGAAUAAGGCAGCAGAACCUUAUGCUCCCACUGCAUACAAAUGCUACAGGAGCAGAAACAAACCGGGAAGCUCUGGGUUCCUCCCGGGGAGGCAAAACUGCACAGAGACGCCCCAGCUGUGUUUGGCAGUGCCCUCCCUGCCUCCCCCGCUCCUUGCGUGAUCCCACUGCUGAGCCAGGAUCGAGCUGCCCAGUGCCGCAGAGCACCGUCCAGAGCUGGGCCGAGACCUCCUCCCCUUCCUCUCCUGCAGCUCGGUGUGCAGCCUCACCUCCUCCUGUGGCAGAGCUGCUGAUCCCAGGCGUGCCGUCGGGAUGCUCCUCUAACCCAGAGCUCCUGCCCACCCUGCCAAGAAAAAGCAAACCAACCCCCCCCCGCCAGCAUGGCCCCCCAGCAGGGAACGCACACAGCUUCACGCCGCUCCCCUUCACCCUACCUCAAGAUUGGUUAUUAUGUCCUACCUCAGAGACCAAAGGAGCACUGAUCUGGAAAUUGGUACAAAACACAGCAGCGUCACAUUGAAACGCAAGUUGAGUUUUCGUUGUCAUGGGUAUUACAGCCCAAAGGUUGUAAUAAAGUUCAUGCAAAGGAGGACAAAUUACAGGUGUUCCAUACACAAAAGCAAAGAGGAAAGGUGUGAGGGUGUUUCCCAAUGAGAAGUAAGAUUCCAGAAAGGGACACAUGCAGGGACCCCAGAGGGCUGUGGAGGCAAACAGUAACUGCUACAGAACCAAUGGUACAGAGAGAGAAUUCACUGCUAGGAGGAGCUCCCAGUCCAGUGAGAAAGAUUGACAGCACUGGCUGCAGGGUUGUCUUUUAAUUAAAAACUAUAUUUAAAAACAA